GAUGCUUCUCGGCCUUUUGGCUAAGAUCAAGUGUAGUAUCUGUUCUUAUCAGUUUAAUGUCUGAUACAUCCUCUAUCCAAGGACAAUAUAUUAAAUGGAUUUUUGGAACUAGGAGUUGGAAUAGGAGCUUGCUCUGCGCAUUCCACCCAUUAAUCUGGUAUUGCUGUACCUCCAGGAACGGUGCAGGGAAG